UUUGGGUUCGGUUGGGUUUGGGUUAUUUGGGUCUAAACAAUCUUGAACCAAAGUCAACCCAAAUUAGUAUGGUUUGGUUUAUGAUCGGUUUAGUUCAGUUUUAUUUCGGUUCGGUUUUAGUUUGGUUUGGUUCGUGUUUGGUUCAGUUUAAUUUGGUUUUGUUUGUAUUUUUCAGUUCAACCGAGUUAAUUUUAUAGUUUUGUUCUAGUUCAAUUACAAAAAUAUGAUUUAUAAAAACCUAAACAAAUCAUCAUUUGAUACUAAAUCAUUAUUUUUUUCAUAUUUAAACGUAAAACCAAACAUCACAAUAAAUAUGUAGAAAAUGUAAUUCAAUAAU
rnacentral:lncRNA from 1 species